AGAAAUUUGGCUAAUAAUGCAGGCCAGAAGCUCCUUGUGUACCAACUGUUUGACUGUUGGUUGAGUCCUUUAAAGAAAUGAAAAUAGGCAAUACUUAUUUAUAUGAAUUUUACUUAAGUAACUUCUUGAUAUUUCAGGCCAAAAAAGAGUAUAUGGGUCUUGCAAUAAAAAACGAUAACCUGGUAUACAUUUAUAACUUGGGAACUAAGGAUGUGGAGAUUCCACUGGACUCCAAGCCUGUCAGUUCCUGGCCUGCUUACUUCAGCAUUGUCAAGAUUGAAAGGGUAGGGAAACACGGAAAGGUGUUUUUGACAGUCCCAAGUCUAAGUAGCACAGCCGAGGAGAAGUUUAUUAAAAAGGGGGAGUUUGCAGGAGACGACUCCUUGUUGGAUCUGGACCCUGAGGACACGGUGUUUUAUGUUGGUGGGGUGCCUUCAAACUUCAAGGUGAGCUUUCUAGAUAUAUGCUGACUUAUUACAAAUCUACAUAAAUCCAUCAAUAU
rnacentral:lncRNA from 1 species